AAAAUUAAUCAACAACAUCCAUGGUAGUGACGUCAUACCUAUAACAUAAGGCAUGUGUUAAAACUUUCUACAAACUACAGUGAGAAAAAACAAAACGAACAAGUGUGUUGGUUCUAAUGUAUGAACUGAGGACAAAAUGGACAGAUGUAUGCAGACUGAAACGGUUUAAAAACUUCAAAGUUUCAAAAAUGUACUUAGCUUAUCAUCUUGGCAAUACCUUUUAUUUCGUUACAGUAUCAAAGGUGUAAAAACAGUUAUAAAAUAACACUUGCUUUUUGCCAAGCUAAAUCAUGGAGAUAAAACAAGAAACUAUGCGUUGGGUCGUCAAACUGAUGAUAAACACGUCAUCAUGACGUCGUGAUGUGCAUUGUGUAUGUACUUGUCUUCUUGUACUUGACAUAAUUUUUCUAGUGUCAACAUAAACUAAGCAUGUCUUGCCCAAAAGUAUCAACAAGCACACUACAAUGCACAAUACAUAUCUUUGCAUGCACCUACGAUAUAGUUAAGUGUAAGGUUUUUAUUUGCCUCACGAGACUAUGGAUUUUUUAUCUUAAAAGAAACAGUAAAUUGUGACUUUUCCAAAGGGGAGGGGGAUGUAGCAGCAAAAUCAUCGACUGGGUGUGACAGAAUAUGCUACGGGGGGAUACAUGUGAACAAAACAACUUGAUAUAUGAUAUCCACCUUGAAAAUCAAAUUUUACUUUACGUUAUAUUUUAUCGUGUUCAAAGAAUGAGGUAAACGUAGCUUCGUUGUUUAUCUUAGUGGACUUCUCAAUCGGAUGUCAAAAUAUUUAACAAUACUUUUUUUGAAACAAACCAAAA